AGAAGAUAGAAGCAGAUCCCUGGAGCUCUGGAGCUGUGAGAACUGAGGGGCCAUGAGUGACAGUUAUUGAGUGCUUCGUGUCUGCCAGGCGCAGAUGUGGCAGUUGAUAGGCAAAGUGCAUCAUGGGACAGGAACUGCUCAUGUGGCCUCACCGGCAGAAGCUCUCGGGGACACUUGAGCUCUCUAGCCCGAUUCCCUGCUUGUAACACUCCCCCGGCCUGGCUGGGGGAAGACAGAAGAGCACAGAUGUUAGACAGGCCUGACGUGUUUUUUUAUUUACCUCUGUGUGGAUGUGGGUGUGGGUGCGUACUCGCUCACAUGGAGAUGACGGAGAUAUGAAGACUGUGGUAUGGGACUUUGGGUGUCCUCUAACUCUCUCCACCUUCAUUACUUGAGACGAGGUGUCUCGCCUUGUUGGCUAGUUUUUAUGUCAACUUAACACAAGCUCAAGUGACCCGGAAAAAGAGCACACCACUUGAGAAAAUACUCCCACCAGCUUCGCCUGUGGAUAAGUCCGAGGUGAGUUUUAUUGACUAGUGAUUUAUGUGGGAGGCGUCCCCCCAGGUGGUCUCAGAGGUGUGUAAUUAAGCAGGCUGAGCAAGCCUUAAAGAGAAAGCGAGUAAGCAUCACCCCUUCAUGGCUUCUGAAUCAGUUACCCCACUUUCAGGUUCCUGCACUGACUUCCCUGCAUGCGGACUACGAGGUGCAAGCUAAAAUAAAACCUUUCCCCUCCAA